rnacentral:rRNA from 1 species
ACGGGGGGGGCAAGCGUUGUUCGGAAUUACUGGGCGUAAAGGGCUUGUAGGUGGCCAACUAAGUCAGACGUGAAAUCCCUCGGCUUAACCUGGGAACUGCGUCUGAUACUGGGUGGCUUGAAUGCGGGAGAGGGAUGUGGAAUUCCAGGUGUAGCGGUGAAAUGCGUAGAUAUCUGGAGGAACACCGGUGGCGAAGGCGGCAUCCUGGACCGACACUGACACUGAGGAGCGAAAGCCAGGGGAGCAAACGGGA